CAACCUGAACUCAGUCGUGAUUACCCGCUGAACUUAAGCAUAUCAUUUAGCGGAGGAAAAGAAACUAAAAAGGAUUCCCCUAGUAACGGCGAGUGAAACGGGAAGAGCCCAGCGCCGAAUCGAUCAGUCUUUGGCUGCUUCGAAAUGUGGCGUAUAGGUGUAGUCUUCCAGCAGUGUCGUAUGUCCGAAGUCCUUGCGAUUGAGGCCAUAAACCAGAGAGGGUGCGAGCCCCGUUCUGGAUAGCGGCGCUGUUGGUUCGACUGCUCCUUGGAGUCGGGUUGCUUGAAAGUGCAGCCUAAAGUGGGUGAUAAACUUCAUCUAAGGCUAAAUAUUGACUCGAUUGCGAUAGCGAACAAGUACCGUGAGGGAAAGUUGCAAAGGACUUUGAAGAGAGAGUUCAAGAGAACGUGAAAUCGCUGGAGUGGAACCGGAGACAGUUGAUGUUGCUUGGAGACAAUCUUGGUGGCUGAUCGCUUAGCUGUGAUCGCCGCCGGGAGUCGUUUCCUAUGCUACGCCGACGGCGUUGGCCGCUCGUUCUGGCCCGACAGUGUUGCCCAUCUCGCAAGAGACGGUGUCUUGUUGUCGGUCGUUGGUUCGUGGUGGCUAGCGUUUAGUUACGCUAGUGUGUGUGACGUCGGUGUGAAAGUCGACGACGUUUCCGACCCGUCUUGAAACACGGAUUACGGAGUGUUUGUCUGCUGCGAGUCAAAGGGUGUAAAAACCUUGCGGCGCAAUGAAAGUGAAGGUUAGUCUCGAACUGACCGACGUGGGAUCCGUGU
rnacentral:ncRNA from 1 species